ACCAUCAUGUCCUUAUGAAAAUAAUUCUCCAAUCAACGGCCGACCGACGGAAAAUUCUCCGAAUCACUCUCCGAGCGAUCGGGGCAGCAUAAAAAGCUCUGCUUCAAGCGUUCUUAUUUUCGUUGACCCUGAAACGUCAAUUGUGCAGGAGCAAAUAAUUGGUGACAGAGCAAAAGUUCUAAUAAAAUGGGCAAAUGGAAAAGAAAACUUGAUAACUUUUGUUAUACCUGCAGAACCGUAUACUGUUCAGGAUCUUCUUGAUGAGGCACAAAUCUCAUCGCUUCAAAAUCCUUGUGUGAUGUUACAAACAGAUCAUACAAUUGCACAUUAUGUCGUUAAUGUAGGAUAUGAUUCGCAUUAUGCUAAAGACAACGUUUCUACAAUGGAUACAAUAAAUGACAAUGAAACGAUCACAAUCUAUCCCCCACUGCCAGCCGCCGGCGGAUUCCAAAUAAAGAGAUGUCAUUUAAAUUGUUUAGAAGAAGGAAAAUAUCUAAAUGAUAUUAUACUAGAUUUCUAUCUAACGCACUUUUUAUGCGAAAUGAUAUCCUCUUCAGACAGAAACAGAACUCAUUUAUUUAGUUCUUUCUUUUUUAAAAAAAUUGCAAGUGCACAGAAUAAGAAUAAUAUUCCAACAAAAAAAAUAUAUGAAAGUGUACAAAGGUGGACGAAGAACGUAAAUCUUUUUGAGAAAGAUUUUAUUAUCGUUCCGAUCAACGAAAGGCAAAUAUUCAUUACUAUACAUCAUUACUAAUAUACAUAUAUUAAUAUACGUAAAUUGAAUUCAUACUAUAAUUAUGAACCUUUUAACAUUCCAGUGAACAUUGGUAUUUGAUAAUAAUUUGCUUUGCAAAUAAACGUCGUAAAAAUAAUGUGUUGGAAACGGCACAACCUGAGUUCGUUGAACGCAAAGAAAUUAAGAAACCAUGCAUUUUAGUACUUGAUUAUUUGGGUGGAAUAAGGACAAAGGCUGCUAACAUACUCAGGCGGUACUUGCAUUAUGAAUAUGAUUUUAGAAUAGGAGGGAAAAAAUUUUUCACAGCUGAGAAUUUGCCAAUAGUGCAUUUAAUAGUUCCACGACAGACAAAUCUUACGGAUUGUGGUAUUUACUUAUUGCAAUACGUUGAAAGCUUUUUUUUUUAAUCCUAUAAAAGACUAUAAUUCCUUAGGCUUUCAAUCAAUGACUAACUGGUUUAAGACUGAAGAAAGCAUAUUAAAUAAAAGAGAGUACAUAAAAAAAUUAAUACUUAAUCUGGCAGCAAAUAGUUCGUGAAAAAUUAUACAAUUCUCCAAACACGUUAAGACGAUUUGGAGCUAUAAAAAAGAUAAUAAACAUGAUAUUACAUUUAAAUGUAUGCACGUCAAUCCGUAGUCCUAAAAGAAGGUUACAAUAUUGAUUUAAUAAUAAUUAAUAUUUAUUGCAUGUAUAUAAAAAUAGAUCGUUUAUUUACC